UGUCAUAUCAACAAGCGGAGGAAAAGAAAAUAACAAGGAUUCCCCUAGUAACGGCGAGUGAAGCGGGAAGAGCUCAAAUUUGAAAUCUGGCAGUCUUCGAUUGUCCGAGUUGUAAUCUAUAGAGGCGUUUUCCGUGCCGGACCGUGUCCAAGUCUCCUGGAAAGGAGUAUCAAAGAGGGUGAUAAUCCCGUACUUAACACGACCACCGGUGCUCUGUGAUACCUCUUCUACAAGUCGAUUGUUUGGGUU
rnacentral:rRNA from 1 species